CGGACGGGUGAGUAACGCGUGGAAAACCUGCCGUAUACUGGGGGAUAACACUUAGAAAUAGGUGCUAAUACCGCAUAAGCGCACAGCUCCGCAUGAAGCGGUGUGAAAAACUCUGGUGGUAUACGAUGGUUCUGCGUCUGAUUAGCUAGUUGGUGGGGUAAUGGCCUACCAAGGCAACGAUCAGUAGCCGGCCUGAGAGGGUGAACGGCCACAUUGGGACUGAGACACGGCCCAAACUCCUACGGAAGGCAGCAG
rnacentral:rRNA from 1 species